AACACCUGUAGAGGUAAUUCUCAGAGGCAGAGCUGCUUGUGGACAGAGUAGAGGAGGCAGGAGGCAGAAAAGUUCUCUGUUGUUUGAUGUUCUCCAAAUUGUUGUUGCCUGGGUUGGUGUCAAUCUUAUUGUUUUGUGAAGAUUUUAAUACCAUUGGCAAUCUAUCUAUGGACCAAUAACAGCAUACUGUUAGAAGCUGCAGAAGGAUCAAAUUUAUUCUGGACAGUGCCAUCUAGAGACCUCUACAUGUCAAACAGGAUUUCUUCAUCUACAGACACAGACCUUGGCGUGUUUACUGAAUGGCCUUGUCUACAGCUACACACCAUUGCAUGUUUAGUCAAUUACCUUGCAUGCAGCCACAGAACCCUGCAUGUGGAGCAGGAUUCCUUUUCUCAAGCCUACCGCUUUCUCUGCCUGCUAAAAAAAAAUCGCCUUGCUGUCAACCUGCCUCUGAUCACUUGCUGCAUGUCAAAUGGAUGCCCUUGCCUUCUCCUGCCUAUGAAGUUGGCAACAUACCGACAAUGCUUUGCCGGUAGAGAGGGAACCCUCCACUAUGUGUACAGUAGACCUCAGGUAGG